GACGAACGCUGGCGGCGCGCUUAACACAUGCAAGUCGAACGGAAAGGCCCUGCUUUUGUGGGGUGCUCGAGUGGCGAACGGGUGAGUAACACGUGAGUAACCUGCCCUUGACUUUGGGAUAACUUCAGGAAACUGGGGCUAAUACCGGAUAGGAGCUCCUGAUGCAUGGUGGGGGUUGGAAAGUUUCGGCGGUUGGGGAUGGACUCGCGGCUUAUCAGCUUGUUGGUGGGGUAUUGGCUUACCACGGCUUUGACGGGUAGCCGGCAUGAGAGGGUGACCGGCCACAUUGGGACUGCGAGACGGCCCAGACUCCUACGGGAGGCAGCAGUGGGGAAUAUUGCACAAUGGGCGGAAGCCUGAUGCAGCAGCGCCGCGUGCGGGAUGACGGCCUUCGGGUUGUAAACCGCUUUCGCCUGUGACGAAGCGUGAGUGACGGUAAUGGGUAAAGAAGCACCGGCUAACUACGUG
rnacentral:rRNA from 1 species